rnacentral:rRNA from 1 species
GACGAACGCUGGCGGCGUGCCUAAUACAUGCAAGUCGAACGCUUCUUUCCUCCCGAGUGCUUGCACUCAAUUGGAAAGAGGAGUGGCGGACGGGUGAGUAACACGUGGGUAACCUACCCAUCAGAGGGGGAUAACACUUGGAAACAGGUGCUAAUACCGCAUAACAGUUUAUGCCGCAUGGCAUAAGAGUGAGAGGCGCUUUCGGGUGUCGCUGAUGGAUGGACCCGCGGUGCAUUAGCUAGUUGGUGAGGUAACGGCUCACCAAGGCCACGAUGCAUAGCCGACCUGAGAGGGUGAUCGGCCACACUGGGACUGAGACACGGCCCAGACUCCUACGGGAGGCAGCAGUAGGGAAUCUUCGGCAAUGGACGAAAGUCUGACCGAGCAACGCCGCGUGAGUGAAGAAGGUUUUCGGAUCGUAAAACUCUGUUGUUAGAGAAGAACAAGGACGUUAGUAACUGAACGUCCCCUGACGGUAUCUAACCAGAAAGCCACGGCUAACUACGUG